rnacentral:tRNA from 1 species
GGACGAAUAGCUCAGCCGGGAGAGCACACGCUUCACAUGUGUGGGGUCGCAGGUUCAAGCCCUGUUUCGUCCA